rnacentral:rRNA from 1 species
GACGAACGCUGGCGGCGUGCCUAAUACAUGCAAGUAGAACGCUGAAGCUUGGUGCUUGCACCGAGCGGAUGAGUUGCGAACGGGUGAGUAACGCGUAGGUAACCUGCCUGGUAGCGGGGGAUAACUAUUGGAAACGAUAGCUAAUACCGCAUAAUAGUAGAUGUUGCAUGACAUUUGCUUAAAAGGUGCAAUUGCAUCACUACCAGAUGGACCUGCGUUGUAUUAGCUAGUUGGUGAGGUAACGGCUCACCAAGGCAACGAUACAUAGCCGACCUGAGAGGGUGAUCGGCCACACUGGAACUGAGACACGGCCCAGACUCCUACGGGAGGCAGCAGUAGGGAAUCUUCGGCAAUGGACGGAAGUCUGACCGAGCAACGCCGCGUGAGUGAAGAAGGUUUUCGGAUCGUAAAGCUCUGUUGUAAGAGAAGAACGAGUGUGAGAGUGGAAAGUUCACACUGUGACGGUAUCUUACCAGAAAGGGACGGCUAACUACGUG